rnacentral:lncRNA from 1 species
GCACAUGCAAUAUAUCGCUUUUAUUUUCUGAAUAAGCAGCAAGAACUGCACAUUUUAGGGCAUGGGGGGUUUGCAGUCAGACCUGCUUGUGAAUUCAAUAAGAAAGCAGAGCAAAAAAUGUGAAUAGCCACUUUAUCGAAGAGGAUAUAAGGAUUGGGAAGAAGUAUAUGAUAGCCAUUAGGGAAAUAAACAAUAAAAUCACAAUGAGAUACCAUUACAUCACUCUUAAAAUGGCUGAAAUUAAAAAGACCAACCACACCCACUGUUGUGGGGAAGGGAGGGGGCCUGAAUAAUCCCUGAGGAGUAGUAGAAUAGCAGAUGGAACACUGAGAAGUUAUUUCCUUGAGGAUAGAUUUCCAUGAUGGAAAGGAAAUGAGAGGUUCUAAGAGGCGGGCUAGUGGCUUGUAUUAUAGUAUAACCUGCCUUUGCUGGUGUGUGGCGAUUAGGCCUGGUGGAACCGCCAUCAAUAAAUCAAGCGUGAUCAGGGUGAGGAACAGGAAAGAAGGAAAUUUGGGGAAAUGGGGUGAAUGUCAGGUGGAUCAGAGAGAUACAGUCAUGGGGGUCAGGUGUGGUAUCAGGAAUAAUGUGGGAGGUCAGAUUGAAGUCUGGGCCAGGAACAACGGUAAUUGUGGGAGACUCAACAAAGAGUGAGUACAGCUGAAGGAGCCGGAAAGCAGAAAGUCUAUGUGUCAGUGUGAAGUCCUUUGUGAAUGAGCCACAUUUUUUACUCAUUCAAGUCCCUACAGCAUAAUCACAUAGAUUAACUCACUUGGAUCGUUAAUUGUUACACUGUAAGAACUCCACAAACUUGAUCAGAGAGGUCUGCAGCUCAGUACACUACUGCAGAUGCAUGUGGACCAAAGAAAGAAGGUCAAGGGAUCCAAUUAUGUUUGCAAUGAUCAAUUUCCCUAUUAAGAUUUUAAAUAUAUUUAUCCUUUUUUCAAAGCAUGUAAGAAAGUAUUUAUCAGUGAAAUGAAAAUAAAAAUGCUGAUCAGUAGUGAAGCAAAUUCACCUGG